AAUAGAUACCCAGGUAGUCCACGCCGUAAACGUUGGGCGCUAGGUGUGGGGGCCAUUCCACGGUCUCCGUGCCGCAGCUAACGCAUUAAGCGCCCCGCCUGGGGAGUACGGCCGCAAGGCUAAAACUCAAAGGAAUUGACGGGGGCCCGCACAAGCGGCGGAGCAUGUUGCUUAAUUCGAUGCAACGCGAAGAACCUUACCUAGGCUUGACAUGCACGGAAAAGCCGUAGAGAUACGGUGUCCUUCGGGGUCGUGCACAGGUGGUGCAUGGUUGUCGUCAGCUCGUGUCGUGAGAUGUUGGGUUAAGUCCCGCAACGAGCGCAACCCUCGUUCCAUGUUGCCAGCACGUAAUGGUGGGGACUCAUGGGAGACUGCCGGGGUCAACUCGGAGGAAGGUGGGGAUGACGUCAAAUCAUCAUGCCCCUUAUGUCUAGGGCUGCAAACAUGCUACAAUGGCCGGUACAAAGGGCUGCGAUACCGCGAGGUGGAGCGAAUCCCAAAAAGCCGGUCUCAGUUCGGAUUGGGGUCUGCAACUCCG
rnacentral:rRNA from 1 species